UGUAACAAGCUGAGAACUGGCAUCAGCCGGACUGUCCGGUAGUUGUGACACAGCGCUGCGUUGUUCGUUGACUUUAGAGCUCGAAGUUGUCUGUUUCUCUGGCUUGGAAAAUCAUCUCUAUUUCGGUUUUAACCGAGGACGUACGAUCUUGAACACUGUGUGUAGGAGACUGUUGACAGAGGGCCUUGUCUACUUCAUUACUAGUUCAUACAAUGUGCAGCCUGGGUUAUGGAUCAGAGACAAUGACUGUAUAGACGUUUCUGCAAGCAAACUGUUGAGGGAAGCAGUGGAACGUUAGGGCAAGGCAAAAUAGUAUUAUGUUGAAAGAUGUGUGACAAACAGUGGGUAACUGUUCUCUACCUCAGCCUUGUUGCAACCUCUGGCUAUGCAUGGGAUGCGUUCCACUAGGCAAUUUGGUCUUGGUUGGGAGCAAUUUGCUGAUAUGCUAGAGGUGUUGCUCAAAGGAAUGUCUGAGGGAAGGGAAACGCGACCGUUAGAUCAGAGAGACUGUGCAGAUCGAAUGCAGAGUGCAUGCUCAAUGCUAGUAAACUGCAGCUUUUCUUCACGACAGUAAUUUAAAACUUUUUAGGCUGCAAGCUGCUGCUCAAGCUGUGGGUGUCUCAUACUUAUCAAUAUGUGAUGGGAGCUAUCAGAAUACUCACACGUUUAAUUUUGAUUAAAUAACUUACUGGCAGCAUGAAAAUUAUUAGUAGAAUUUUGGCGUUUUAUCUUGGUUUGGAACAGAAAUGCAAUGGAGCUAGGAGUAUUGUAUUAUUGUUAUGGGUCAUAAGGUCAGGCACUGACUAGAAGCUGCAGGUUCAUGUGCAGUUUAUCUGUCGUUAAUUAAUGUUAUGCUAUUGCAUAUGCAAGUUUGCUGUUGGUACAGUAUACGUAGUAGUGAAAUGUGGUUUCUGCAAUUUGGGGGUUUCAGGACACAUUACGUAAACUUUAAUUAACCUAAAGGAUCUCUCUCUAUAUGUAAUACACACUAGUAUAUGUACGCAAGGCUUUCAAACUUCAAUGAACUGAUAGUUGGUAACGGCAAAAUAU